UGGUCUUAUUAAAUGUUGUGAAUAAUUUGCUAUUGCGCCAGGGGUAAGUGCAAGGGAAGUAAGGGUGGAAAAUAGCAAUGUUUUAUUAACACUGGGAUUUCUCUUUUUCAGAGAUCAGUUUAUACUGCUCUACUUUUUGGACCCGAGCACAAUCAAUGGGAACAUUAUCCAUUACUGGAUAAUGAUUUACUAUCUGGAAGAGCUCAAGAGGGAGCAUGCCACCCUCUGCAUUGAUGUGUCGCUGUCUCCUGAGACACCAACAGAGCAGCAAAUAUGGAGGCAGCAUCUGGAGUAUCUGCGGCUGCAGAAUGUAAGUUCCUGAUCACUGUCUCUGAUGCUUUUCUUGGAUAUUCAACCACUAGAUAAUUAACUUUGAUUGGUCUUUUUCUCCCUAUGAUGAGAAAAGGCAUACUAAUGGUCAUAAAUACAAAACCACAACAUCACCCGGCA